rnacentral:rRNA from 1 species
GUAGGUGGCAAGCGUUGUCCGGAAUUAUUGGGCGUAAAGCGCGCGCAGGCGGUUCUUUAAGUCUGAUGUGAAAGCCCACGGCUCAACCGUGGAGGGUCAUUGGAAACUGGAGAACUUGAGUACAGAAGAGGAAAGCGGAAUUCCACGUGUAGCGGUGAAAUGCGUAGAGAUGUGGAGGAACACCAGUGGCGAAGGCGGCUUUCUGGUCUGUAACUGACGCUGAGGCGCGAAAGCGUGGGGAGCAAACAGGAUUAGAUACCCUGGUAGUCCACGCCGUAAACGAUGAGUGCUAAGUGUUAGGGGGGUUUUCCGCCCCCCUUAGUGCUGCAGCUAACGCAUUAAGCACUCCGCCUGGGAGUACGGCGCAAGGCUG